rnacentral:lncRNA from 10 species
CCCCGCCCCACGGCCCGCGCAUGCACCUUCGCCCACUCUGCACACCUUCACAGAGCGCCUGCUGGGGGUCAGCCCUGUCCAGGCGCUGGAGAGCCGCCGGUGAGCCACACGCACGAAUCCCUGCCCUCGUGGAGUUUAUACUACGGUGGGGAGACAGACACUCAAUAAAUAAGGCAAAUAUAUGAUGUGUGAGGUAGUGAAAAACUCUAACGAGAGAAAAAUAAGCAGGAAAGGGGCUCAAGGAGCCAGCGGAGAGAAAGGACAAUUUAAAACAGAGCUGCAGCUGAUGCUCCGGGAAGAUGUGAUUUCCAAGCCCUGAACUGCAAGAUCUCCAGGCACCCUGGCUCCAGGACAAGAAGGCGCUGCAAGGAUAGGCUGAUUCCCCAGGGGUGCUGGGCAUGAACUCAGUCCCAGGGCAGGAUCUUUAGCCUCUAUCUGCUGCUUCCCACCUGCCCUGCAAGAAUGACCCAGCCAAUGCUGCCUUUUGUGGAGGUGGGUUUUGGGAACCCCAGAAACCACCUCAUGUCUCUGAAUGUCUUCCCAGCAGAUGGGCCACUGCCAGAGAAGAUUCAACCAUUAGUGAUGCAUUUGUUUGAGUAAAACUCUGGACCCCAUCCAAAGGCAGAUGUUCCUGGAAGGCAUCCUGCUGGGAAUGUCCUGAGUUGAAUGGCUCAGUGUGACAUUGAGAAUGGGGGUUAAGACCCUGGAAUACAUAAUGGGCCCUGGGAUGGCUCUGAAGCUGAAGAAGAUGCAGUAAGCAGGGUACGGUCCCCAGCUUAAUUUUAUUGUGGCAAAAUGGUCCGAGCACAGUGGCUCAUGCCGGUAAUCCCAACAGUUUGGGAGGCCGAGGUGGGCGGAUCACCUGAGGUCAGGAGUUCGAGACCAGCCUGGACAACAUGGCAAAAACCUGUCUCUACUAAAAAUGAAAAAAUUAGCCAGGCAUGGUAGCGCAUGCCUGUAAUCCCAGCUACUCAGGAGGCUGAGGUAGGAGAAUCACUUGAACCUGGGAGGUGGAGGGUGCAGUGAGCUGAGAUCACACAACUGCACUCCAGCCUGGGCAACAGAGUGAGACUCCAUCUCAAAAAAAAAAAAAAAAAAGAAAAAAAUCAGCUGGGCACGAUGGCUCAUGCCUGUAAUCCCAGCACUUUGGGAGACCGAGGUGGGCAGAUCACCUGAGGUUGGGAGUUCGAGGCCAGCCUGAUCAACAUGAACAAACCUCGUCUCUACUAAAAAUACAAAAUUAGCUGGGUGUGGUGAUGCAUGCCUGAAAUCCCAGCUACUGGGGAGGCUGAGGCAGGAGGAUCGCUUGAACCCGGGAGGCAGAGGUUGCGGUGAGUCAAGAUCAUGCCAUUGCACUCCAGCCUGGGCAACAAGAGAGAAACUCCAUCUCAAAAAAAAAAAAAGCACAUAACACAAAAGUUACCAUUUUAACCAUUUCUUAGUGUGCUGCAUGCCUGUAAUCCCAGCUACUCAGGAGGCUGAGGCAGGAGAAUUGCUUGAACCCAGCAGGUGGAGGUUGCAGUGAGCCAAGAUCAUGUCAUUGCACUCCAGCCUGGGUGACAGAGCGAGACUCUAUCUCAAAAAAAAAAAAUGCACAUAACACAAAAGUUACCAUUUUAACCAUUUCUUAGUGUACAAUUCUCUGGCUUUUGGUAUAUUCACAAGAUGCACGUACAGCCAGCACCACUUUCUAGUUUUGGAACAUUUUCAUCACCCCAAAAGGAAACUCAUACCCAUGAAGCUGUCACUCCUCCUUCCUCCCUUCCCGCAGCCCCUGGAAACCAUCCAUCUGUUUAUCUGCUUCCUGGGGGACAUCUCAUUCGUCCCGGGUGGCCUCUACGUUGUGUUGCUUCUUGCCCCUUCUCGAAGCAGAGCCCUGAGGCCUCCUGGAUUUGGGAAUCUCCAGGGCUAUCAUGAUGGUUGGCAGGGCUGUUACGUACAGGUGUAUAGGUUGUAACCUGCACAACUCUGUGGAACAGUCCUGGUCAUGGGAGCAGCUUUGACUGAGCAGAGGCUGAGUCUGAGGCAGUCUGACCCAGGGGGCUACACAGCCAGGACCCACCCACCUUGACCCCCAGCCGGGCACCCAAGUCCAUUCACUUCACAAAGACUUCUGGGCUCCACCAACUGCUACAUGAAGCCCAAAGGAGAGAAUGGAACACAGCGGGAG